rnacentral:rRNA from 1 species
UCUACCUACGGGGCGCAGCAGUGGGGGAUAUUGCACAAUGGGGGCAACCCUGAUGCAGCGACGCCGCGUGAGCGAUGGAGUACUUCGGUAUGUAAAGCUCUGUCAGCAGGGAAGAGAAUGACGGUACCUGACCAAGAAGCCCCGGCUAAAUACGUGCCAGCAGCCGCGGUAAUACGUAGGGGGCAAGCGUUAUCCGGAUUUACUGGGUGUAAAGGGAGCGUAGACGGCGAUGCAAGCCAGAUGUGAAAGCCCGGGGCUCAACCCCGGGACUGCAUUUGGAACUGUGUGGCUGGCGUGUCGGAGAG